GGCAUUGUGGCUUAGUCGGUUGAAGAGUCUGCCUUUUAAAAAGGAGAGCCUGGGUUUGAAUCCCAGCAGUACUU